UAAGCAUUUAUUACUUUAUAAUCAGGAAAAAAUAGAAAUAUAGUGUGUAUGCUGUUACUUUCAUUUGUAAUUUAGCAGCAUAACUGUCAAAAUUCAUUCCAGUCCUUCCAACCAAUUUGCUGUUUGACUAAGAGUUAAGUGAAUCUACCUUUAUCUCUAAGUUUGUCUAUGUAUAUCUUUUUAACCUUAUAUUUUCUUUGAGGCUGAUUUGAUUUAAGGUCUGGUCUGUAAGACACCCUGUGGACCUGAGCGUGAAAGUGUGGAAGUGCCUCAUGACUCACAGUUGUCCUUGGACACCCACCUGGCAUUCAGCUCCAUGCCGUGCUUCCAGUCUGAACUUAUGACAGUCGAAUGCCAGUGUGACUAAGGUGUGACUAAGGUCGACUAAGAUAGAUGGUGACAGCUGUAUUAAGUUUCAUGAAAAGGAGUUGGGAAGUUUCUUUUUCAUCCAAAAAUAUUUCUUUUGAUCAGCAAGACUGAAAUAUUACUUUAAGGAAUAUAUGCUUUCACUAGGAUGCACAUUUAAUAAACAUUUAUUCCUCACUAUAGAAAUACAAUGAUGAAUAAGACAUUGUACCUGCCCCUCGAAGAGCUCCUGAUCCCGGACCACCUGUUCAGUUGUGUAGUUUAUGCACAGGUUGGGUUAACAUCCAGCCCACACCCUGCUCACCAAGCUGUCUGUUCUGGUGUGUGGAGUUGAAUCUGCCCUGAGCAGGGCUGCCAGACUUAUAAGAAUGUAGGAUACCCAGCUAAAUGAAAAUUCCAGAAAGACAUCAAAUCAUUUUUUAGUGUAAGCAUAGCCCUUGUGGUGUUUGAGCUAUACUUAUACUCAAGCUUUUUUCUGGCAACCCUGCCCCUGAGGAAGAGGAAAAGGGCUGCCUUUGACUCAUAGACGGUGCUGGGCCUUUGGGGGCUGGGGGCAAGAUGGUUGUGUGCACCCAUACAGCUGCCUUUUCCUAAUUCACUGAGGAGGGUUAUUUUUUUCUGAAUGAUACAGAAGCUAACUGGUGUCCCCAUCACAAUCCAGUGAGGGAGAGAGAUGUAUAAACAUGAGGGAUGUAGUAACGUGGAUUCCAGUGGAAUAAAGGAAAGCCGGGUCCAUUUUACCUGAGAAAAUCUGCAAACGAUUCACAAAUAGUAGUUCUUGAUCUUGGUCUGAGAGAUGAAUUAAAAGAGAGGUUUAUGAGGGCCAUCGUGCCAUGCUAAGGAAUUCUAGCUCUGCAGCAGUGGGGAGAAAGAGUGAAGGAUAUGCCUAUGCCGAAUUCGCUGAUUUAUUAUUUACGUACUUACUGAUACUUGGGAAUUUAAGGAUACGUUUUGUGCACAGUUACUUAUCUUAGCCUUCAUGUAGCAUAUUCCAUUGCACUGGGGAGAAAAAUGGGAAUUCAUAAGAAAUCAAAAGCUUCAUUUUUUCUGAAUGACUGAAGCUUAAUAUUAGCUCUUUAAAUAUCAAUCGUUGUUAUACUUUAGUCCUUUCUAAGAGGAAAAAAUUGCUGCAUCUAUCUUUGGCAUCUGAAGCAAAGUAUAAUAAACACUAUGUUAAUGAAUAAGGAUCAUCAUUACAAACUGUAAUCACGUGGGUCGGUAAUAUCACAAGCAACAGCAAGAACUGUUGGAGUGUAUAAGACUGCCGUGGUAGUCGUUAAAGAGGCCCAGCGUGCCCCAUUUUUGUUUUGUUUUGAGUUUUUCUAUUUUGUACCUUUUCUUGUUUUUAAUGGUUUUUGUUAUCAGCUGUUACUUGCAGAAUCCAAGCGAGUUGUGUCAGUCCACCUGCCUCUAACAGUUCCCCCUCUUCUAAUUUAUGGCUUCUGGUCAGUUGUGAACUAGAAAGGCAACCGGCCGUCAGGACUCAUGGGUCUCAUGGGUCGUUUGUAAAGUAAGAGUAAGUGGGCUAUGACGAGAGCUGGGGCAGAGCCACGUUCUGACAUCCUCGGGGCCCCUUCCUCCACGGGGAAAAAAAUAGCUUUAUUUUCCAACUGUUGGUAUUUAGAACAUUUUCUCUGACCUAAAAGGUCUGUUUUUUCCUUCCUGAUUUUAAAAGAAAGACUAGCUUUGUUAGCUCUUCAAAGUUUUGUGGGCCCUUGCCACUGCGCCUAAAAACAACCAGGAGUCAGCACUACCUGUCAAUAAAGUCGCUGGAACCUUACUUUAUUUAUUUAUUUAUUUUUCAGUCCUAGAAAUUAGAGGAUUUUUGCUUAUUUCAUGGUUCUUGGCUGUGUUCUGGACAGUUGAAAUUGUUGAGCAGAUUGGCCUCCAGCUAAGUAAGGGCCAGAAGAGAGAAUGUAACAAGGAAGGAGUGAUUUGCUACCCUUGAAACCUACACCGAGGUCACCAUUCAUUCAUUCAACACAAAUUUAUUAACUUCUCACUCUGUACAAGGUGCUGUGCUAGCCUUGGAUGCAUCAGUAAAACCAAACAGACAGAAGUCCUGUCCUCAUGAAGGAAGACCAGCAAUAAAUACAGUAAAUAAGUAAAGACAUUAAAUGAGCAAAGUAUUUCGUAUGCUGAAAGGUAAUUCGUACUUUGGGGGAAACAUCAAGAUAAAGGGAGGUGAGGAAGAGGGCAUUGCGGUUUUCAGUGGGGUUUGGGGUGGGGGGGUCGGCCUGGUGGAAAAGGUGACAUUCAUGCAACACCUCGACUCUGAGGGAAAGAACCAUGUGGCUAUAUAAGGGAAGAGCAUUCUAGGCAGAGGGAACACAUGAGUAUCUUGUGUGCCGGGCGUGCCGUGCUAAGAACUGCCAGGACUUAGAUGAAUAAAACAUGGCUCCUACCUCCAGGGAGUUGACAGGUUAGAAACAAGAUUCAGACUUGCAAAUAAAUGCAGCAAUAAAGUUGUAAAGCACUAUGGUAGGUAGAUUUUUUUUUUUUAAGGUCCCCGGAUUGAAUAAUACAAACUAAGUAAAAAUAUGUGAAAUUAUUCCCAUUUCAACAAUGAAGCCAGGAUAAGUGGUAGACUGAAGCACCUCUUACCACAAAAAAGCCUUUUCUCACCCUCUGCUCUGAACCGACUGUGUCCUCAGAAGUCACUGCCCCGUACCGAGGCCCCUCACUGAAGCCCCUCACUGUCACCCGCUGCCACGACUCCUGAGGGAGUGUUUGAUCUUUAGCUUCAGGCCUUGUCUGAGCCUCACAGUAACCCUAGUUAAGCUGAAGAUUGGCACUCUCUUCUUCCCUGAACAGAGUGAAUCUUGGCCCUCUGGGAGAAUGUUCUCUCUGUAUGGUUUGCUGCUGGUGCCUGUGUUGUUGGGAAGAGGGAUUCUCAGGCACUUCACUGCUCACUCACCCGACCUAACGUUAUGGAUUCCUAACCUCCUAGGCUGAGCAUGAUUUUCCACGUUCCUCUCAAGACCAUUCGUUCAAGCUCUCAUUUCUUUUCAUUCUUACCCUCUCUGACAAUAAUGGCAAAUACCCCCCGCCUGCCCCCAAGCAUUUUCACCUCAUGCCUUACUCUGACAGGUAGGUAGGAUUUUUAAUCCCAUUUUUAUGGUUGAGGUGGAGACAAGUCCUAAGAAGUUAAAUAAUCUAGCCAGAAUCACACAGCUAUGAAUGAUGGAGCCUGUACUUUUCCUACUGCCAGCCUUGGGCUUCCAUUAAAAAAGAUGUCACACAUGUGAGGUAUUGGCGGAAGGUGCAGAUCCUUCCCGGCAUGCUCAUUCUUCGGGCGUGUCACAAGUGCAGCAUCUUUCUCACCGGCCACUAGACCGUCCUGUAUGUAGCUGCUAGGACCAUCUUGCUCUUCAUCACAGUUCUUUCUCCUCGGGAACCUUCUUUAGUUUCCUGUUGCUUUUUAUAUUAAAUCUUCUUCCUUAGUUUAAGCAUUCUGAGUCCUCCCUUUACUGAGUGCCCACUCCUCAUCUCUCUAGAAAGAAAGACUUCGUUUGCAGCCCUUCCUGCUCUGGCUUAGUGGCCUCCACCGCCCUCAUAGGACCUAGUAGCACGUAGACCCAUCCCUUCUCCAGGGCCUCCUCUUGGUCAGAGUCAACAAUACUACAGGAAUCUUCCUAGGUGACCCUACUCCGAUGAAACUGCCCCAUGUGCUGUGUCCCCUCUGCCAUUAUGAGUUUAUCUUUACUGAUGUGUUACUUGGUAGCUAUCCCUGACUAUUAUUUGUUCUUCCCAGCUAAAUCGUAAUCUCUUUGAAGGCACAAACCAAAUCUCAUAACUCCUUAAGCACCUGAACAGAAAAAAUUCUUGUUAAUGAUCUGAUCAGCUAAUCUGUUGUAUUUUAUAGGGAUUAUAAAUUCCUAAUAUUCUGAAAAUUUUUACUUUUGUUUACAAAACCCUCAAAUCCUAAUAAUCAGAAAAUAAAGUUUAAGGCCCCAGCACACAGCGGUUUGGAGUUGCACUUUUAUACUCACUUCUUAAUCCAUUUCAGGGUUUCCAAUUGUUCACGUUAAUUCCUCUUACCAAGGAUGUAUCACACUUGCUCGGCCCUGAAUGAUAUGGAAAGAAUGGCCUUUCUUUACUGCAUAACUGACUUUACUUUUGUUCACAGGUUAAAAUCAGCCCUUCCAUUUCACUGCAGUAUUAUAUUAGUGGCAUUUUUAUUUAAGGGGAAAAAAAAAAAGCUUUCUUCCACAUGAACUUUUGUUACAAAUCAGUUUAUUGGGGCCAAUCAGUGGGCAGGA